UUGGGUCCAUUGUCAUAGAUAUAUUUUGAGUCCAUGGGCGAAAUUGAUUCUUUGGGAUACUUUUGUGCUAUAGUUUUGUAAUCAAAAUCAGGACCAGGCAUAGCUGCGGCAACAAAGACUCCAGCAGAAAUUUUCUCAGGGAACUUUUCGAUGGCGACAGAUACGCCAAUGCCUCCCAUGCUGUGGCCAACUAGUACCACCCUCUCUU
rnacentral:misc_RNA from 1 species